rnacentral:misc_RNA from 1 species
CGCACAUUGCGCCCAUCGGUAUUCCGAUGGGCAUGCCUGUUCGAGCGUCAUUAACACACCAUCAAGCCCGGCUUGUCAAUUGGGUCCCCGGUACCGCGGUCUCGCGGUAGGCCCGAAAAUCAAUGGCGGCGUCUCGAUCGACCACCCGAUGCAGCGAGCUGUUUUAACAAAAAGCAUACAUCACGGUGGCGGUCGCGGCCUUGCCUUACCCCCAAACCUUUUCACACGGUUGACCUCGGAUCAGGUAGGAAUACCCGCUGAACUUAA